GACGGAGGAUGCAAGCGUUAUCCGGAAUGAUUGGGCGUAAAGCGUCCGCAGGUGGCAGUUCAAGUCUGCUGUCAAAGACCGGGGCUUAACUUCGGAAAGGCAGUGGAAACUGAACAGCUAGAGUAUGGUAGGGGCAGAGGGAAUUCCUGGUGUAGCGGUGAAAUGCGUAGAGAUCGGAAAGAACACCAACGGCGAAAGCGCUCUGCUGGGCCGACACUGACACUGAGAGACGAAAGCUAGGGGAGCGAAUGGG
rnacentral:rRNA from 1 species